CAGGAGCUGGAAGCACAAAGACAGAGACACGUCAGGUGCUGUUUUCUAAUCUGGUGUGCAGAGGGAACCGGAUUACAUCACAAAUUUGACAGGUUCACUUCAGGAAAUGUGUUUGGUUGUUUCCUUCAGACUGUGCAGACCCCCUGCUCGGCACCUGGCCUCGCGCCCUGAGCCAGGAGCCAGGAGCUCCGGGCUGCAGGGAGCCGCCUCGCCUCUUCCUGCGGCGGCACGGAGCUGCACCGCAAGUCAGCAAUUGCUGUGAGGCCAAGAAACAAAACCAAACGUCAAACAAAGAGCAGCAAAGUGAGUCAAGUGGCACAGAGACAAAGAGGAAGGCAGAGGAAAAGCCCCGCUGCCAGAUUUUGCUGUCAACAAACCGCCUGCCGUCAGCAGCACUGGAGCAAAGCUCAGUGAGAGCCAGCUGGAUAAUACUGAAACUGAGGCGAGUGACGAGUGAAACUGAGGUGAGCGACUAGCCUCAGGUGGAAGGUAAUGUUUCCAAAAUGCCGACUGAAACGGCUGAGCGCCGGGUCGGCUGUGCCUGCUGGGACACGGUCUCUAACUUACGAGGUUUUUCAUGGCCACUGCAGAGCUGAAAGGCCUCAGAUCUGCAGGGUUUGGCCUCCUGCCAGCUCCAGCGUCUAAAUGAAGGUCAACAGGCGAUGGAGCGUUUGCUGUCCUGCUUUUUAAUCCCACCUUAAGAUCCAUUUUUACACUCUUGCCUCUUUGUCUGACGCUGCUCUGCUGUGCAGUUUAUUCUAAUAUGUUCCACCAGUUUUAUCAUUAUUUGUUUUAUCUUUUUUGUACAGUAUCUUUAAAUUCUUGGUAACUGAUUUCAGCUUGUGUGCUUUUAAUAUCCUGUUCGUGUAUGUUUGUUUUAUGUUUCCUAAUCUGAUUGUGCUUUUCUGUUGACUAUGGGAAGCACUUUGUGCAUUUUGCUUGGAAAGUGCUAUGCAAAUAAAAUUAUCAGUGUUAUUAUUGUAACAGCCGCAGUCGACAGUCGUCCCGUACCAUGAGGAUCCCAGACGGCUGCAGUCCAGCACGUCCACUCACAAAAAGCUUAUAUUUCUAUAUAUUCUGCAUUUUGUAAUUGUUUCUCCAGACCACCGACAGCGAGACCCUGGAUGAUGUCAUUGCCUUGUCCUCCAAGCCGUGUAACCUGAUUUGGAAAAAAAAAACAAUAAAAAAAACCAUGAUGUGAGCCUUGUUAUGGAGGUUUCACUUUUACAAUGCCUGAAAGACACACACACACACACACACACACACACACACACCGUGCCCCUCUGUGUGCUCUCAGUCACCGAGCUGGCUGCUGCCUCUUCUGCGUCAGGUGAGCACAAGCAGUGGAUUGUACCGUCUGUGUGUUUGUACUGUGUCUUACUGUGUUUGGCGCUCAACAAGCUGCUCCAGACAAACACUGAUUGUCUCCAGUGGGAUGAAUAAAGUUGGUUGAUUUGUGUUG